UACAACUGUAAAUGUGACCCCUUGUUUUCACUCUCCCUCUUCCACCUCUAACAGCAUCCCCAUCAGCCUCCUCCCUCUAACCACCUCCUAUUCCCUAUGAUGAAAACCGCCGGGUCAGAAAUGAAAUCUCAUGGGAAGUUUGAAUAGAACUCAGGCCCGGUUGGCUGCAGGGAAAUAAGGCAGAGCUGCAUAAGCUGCACGAGAAACAAAAGUCUGCAUUUCUGGAGACUUGGCGGAAACUGGUUGGAGAGCUUUACCCCUCAUGAUGUAGAGAGCAUUUCGUCUAAGCAGUUGGGGAUGAGCCAGUGUUGAUGACAUUGUGAGUGCUGUUUGUAGAAGUUGCUAGCACCUUGGAGACAGAAAGACCAAGGUUCAAGUUCUGUCUGUGACAUCUACUAUUUCUGUAAGUCUUGAUAAAUCACUUAACGUCUGAGAGCUGUAAUUCCUCAUUUACCAAAUGGCCAUGCCAAAAUGUGCCUACCUCCCAGAGGGGUGGUGCUAAUCAAAUGUGAUGAUAUGUGUGACAGCAACCUGUAA
rnacentral:lncRNA from 1 species